GCCUCAUUUGUGUGAUGGAUAAGCACAAUAGACCAAAUAUCUGUAGGUGCAGGUUCAAGUCCUGCUUGAGGUU
rnacentral:tRNA from 1 species